UGCCAGCAGCCGCGGUAAUACAGAGGGUGCAAGCGUUAUCCGGAUUUAUUGGGUUUAAAGGGUGCGCAGGCGGGAAAUUAAGUCAGUGGUGAAAGCCUACAGCUCAACUGUAGAAAUGCCAUUGAUACUGAUUUUCUUGAAUCUAGCUGAAGUAGGCGGAAUAUGUCAUGUAGCGGUGAAAUGCUUAGAUAUGACAUAGAACACCGAUUGCGAAGGCAGCUUACUAAACUAGUAUUGACGCUCAGGCACGAAAGCGUGGGGAGCGAACAGGAUUAGAUA
rnacentral:rRNA from 1 species